rnacentral:rRNA from 1 species
GAGUUGAAUGGGAUACCUAAAGAUCCCAUAGCAAACUGCUCAGUAACACAUGAUCAACUUACCCUAUAGAGAAAAAUAACCUCGGGAAACUGAGGAUAAUGUUUCAUAAUUGAAUUGGCUUGGAAAAGUUUUUCAAUGAAAAGGAUAAAAAAAAUGGUUUUUAUCUGCUAUAGGAUAGGAUCGUGUUCGAUUAUGGUUGUUGGUGAGAUAAUGGCUCACCAAGCCGAUAAUCGAUAGGGGCCGUGAGAGCGGGAGCCCCGAGAUGGGUACUGAGACAACGACCCAGGCCUUACGAGGCGCAGCAGGCGCGGAACCUCCGCAAUACACGAAAGUGUGACGGGGUUACCCAAAGUGUUCAAUAGAACUGUGGUAGGUGAGUAAUGUCCCCUACUAGAAAGGAGAGGGCAAGGCUGGUGCCAGCCGCCGCGGUAAAACCAGCUCUUCAAGUGGUCGGGAUAAUUAUUGGGCUUAAAGUGUCCGUAGCCGGUUUAGUUAGUUCCUGGUAAAAUCGGGUAGCUUAACUAUCUGUAUGCUAGGAAUACUGCUAUACUAGAGGGCGGGAGAGGUCUGAGGUACUACAGGGGUAGGGGUGAAAUCUUAUAAUCCUUGUAGGACCACCAGUGGCGAAGGCGUCAGACUGGAACGCGCCUGACGGUGAGGGACGAAAGCCAGGGGUGCGAACCGGAUUAGAUACCCGGGUAGUCCUGGCCGUAAACGAUGCAUACUAGGUGAUGGUACGGCCAUGAGCCGUAUCAGUGCCGUAGGGAAACCGUUAAGUGUGCCGCCUGGGAAGUACGGUCGCAAGGCUAAAACUUAAAGGAAUUGGCGGGGGAGCACCACAAGGGGUGAAGCCUGCGGUUCAAUUGGAUCAACGCCGGA